CACAAUCAGUGGCGUGCAGUCAGAGUAAAACUAGGUAAGAGGCGCGUUCCCGGCCAUCGGAGUAAUUAAGGAUGGCCGGAGGGGGCUUGGGCCCCGGGCAGUACAAUUUUAGGGGCGGUAAAUUUCGGAGAGCAUUUUUAUAUAAUUGUCAUAGGUUGUAUAGCCGAUUAAAAAAUAAAAAAAAUGAUAAUAACAGUAAUGAUUGUUUUGCAUUCUAUGAUAAUAUCAGGAC